rnacentral:rRNA from 1 species
UACGUAGGGUGCAAGCGUUUAAUCGGAAUUACUGGGCGUAAAGCGUGCGCAGGCGGUUUUGUAAGUCUGUUGUGAAAUCCCCGGGCUCAACCUGGGAAUUGCAUUUGUGACUGCACGGCUAGAGUGUGUCAGAGGGGGGUAGAAUUCCACGUGUAGCAGUGAAAUGCGUAGAGAUGUGGAGGAAUACCGAUGGCGAAGGCAGCCCCCUGGGAUAACACUGACGCUCAUGCACGAAAGCGUGGGGAGCAAACAGG